rnacentral:sRNA from 1 species
AACAUUGAGAAGCAAAAAAUAACAUGGAUUCCCAUUGAUUUUCGUUGACGACAUGUC